UACGUAGGGGGCAAGCGUUGUCCGGAUUUAUUGGGCGUAAAGAGCGUGUAGGCGGUCAGGUAGGUCCGUUGUGAAAACUCGAGGCUCAACCUCGAGACGCCGAUGGAAACCAUCUGACUAGAGUCCGGAAGAGGAGGGUGGAAUUCCUGGUGUAGCGGUGAAAUGCGCAGAUAUCAGGAAGAACACCCGUGGCUAAGGCGGCUCUCUAGUACGGUACUGACGCUGAGACGCGAAAGCGUGGGGAGCGAACAGG
rnacentral:rRNA from 1 species